rnacentral:rRNA from 1 species
UUUUAGAUAGACUAAAACUUAUUAGUAAAAAAAUACAAAUUUAUUUUAUUUUUAUUUGAUUAAUAGCGUGCCAGCAAUUGCGGUUAUACGAAUAAAUUGAAUAUGUAAUAUUUAAAAACUUAACAAAGAAAAAUUUAAGGUUUAAAUUUUUUUUUUAUGUUUAAUUUAAAUUACAAUAGGAUUAGAUACCCUAGUAAGUAAUAAAAUGAGUAAAUAAAAAAUUUUUUUAUUGGCGGUUUAAUUAUAAUAAAGAAACUUGUGAAUUAAAUAAAUACCGCAUUAAAUGUAGUAUUAAAAUUAUUUAAUUUUGUAUGUUCGAUGAAAAUUUAUAAUCUUUGUUUAUUCAGAUACACAUAAAUUAUUUUUUAAGUUUUAUGAGUUGCAAGACUACUACUAAGGAUAAUUUUGAGGAUGAAUUUAUUAGUAAAUUAAUAAAAUAAUUGAAUAAUUUUUUAAAAGUACAUAUCGCCCGUCAGCUUUAAUUCAAAGUAAGUCGUAACAUAGUGUAUUCAUUGGAAAAUGGAUAUAAUGAUAUUUUGAGGUAAUUUAUCUUUACAGGAUGCUUUAAGAGUAACAAUAGAGCAAAUUGUUUAUUUUCAUGAUUAUUUAAUAAUAGUUAUAGCUAUUAUUUUAAGGGUAGUAGGUUAAUUUUUUAAUUUUUGUAUUAAUAACUAAAACUUAUUCUAGAAGAAUUGUAGCUGAUCAUUUAGUAGAAAGAGU